CAGGGAAACACCUGUUCCCAUCCCGAACACAGCAGUUAAGCCUGGCAGCGGUUACAAUACUUGGGUUUAGCCCUGGGAAAAUAGCACGGUGCCGAAU
rnacentral:rRNA from 1 species